rnacentral:rRNA from 1 species
CCUACGGGUGGCAGCAGUGGGGAAUAUUGGACAAUGGGCGAAAGCCUGAUCCAGCCAUGCCGCGUGUGUGAAGAAGGCCUUCGGGUUGUAAAGCACUUUCAGUGGGGAAGAAAGCCUUGGGGCUAAUACCCUCGAGGAAGGACAUCACCCACAGAAGAAGCACCGGCUAACUCCGUGCCAGCAGCCGCGGUAAUACGGAGGGUGCGAGCGUUAAUCGGAAUUACUGGGCGUAAAGCGCGCGUAGGCGGUCUGAUAAGCCGGUUGUGAAAGCCCCGGGCUCAACCUGGGAACGGCAUCCGGAACUGUCAGGCUAGAGUGCGGGAGAGGAAGGUAGAAUUCCCGGUGUAGCGGUGAAAUGCGUAGAGAUCGGGAGGAAUACCAGUGGCGAAGGCGGCCUUCUGGACUGACACUGACGCUGAGGUGCGAAAGCGUGGGUAGCAAACAGGAUUAGAUACCCUUGUAGUC